GUCUCUGUAGCUCAGUUGGUAGAGCAGUCGGUUGAAGCCCGACAGGCAGAGGUUCGACCCCUCUCAGAGACA
rnacentral:tRNA from 1 species